rnacentral:tRNA from 1 species
GGAAGUGUGGCAGAGUCUGGUUUAUUGCACCGGUCUUGAAAACCGACGGUUCUAAAGGGCCCGUGAGUUCGAAUCUCACCGCUUCCACCA